AGUAGACCCAGCAAAUUAUUGAUAUAGAUUAGUAUGGUAGUAGACCCAGCAGGUUAUUGAUAUAGAUUAGUAUGGUAGUAGACCCAGCAGGUUAUUGAUAUAGAUUAGUAUGGUAGUAGACCCAGCAGGUUAUUGAUAUAGAUUAGUAUGGUAGUAGAUCCAGCAGUCAGGUUAUUGAUAUAGAUUAGUAUGGUAGUAGACCCAGCAGGUUAUUGAUAUAGAUUAGUAUGGUAGUAGACCCAGCAGUAACAUUAUUGAUAUAGAUUAGUAUGGUAGUAGACCCAGCAGGUUAUUGAUAUAGAUUAGUAUGGUAGUAGACCCAGCAGGUUAUUGAUAUAGAUUAGUAUGGUAGUAGACCCAGCAGGUUAUUGAUAUAGAUUAGUAUGGUAGUAGACCCAGCAGUCAGGUUAUUGAUAUAGAUGAGGAAUAACAAGGUCUAAUUGUCCAACCCUGUGGUACGCCAGGAUAUCUUGGCCCUGGUGGAUGCACAGCCGUUUGUGUUCCACUUCCUGCCAAUAUCAAACUACUUCCCACAGCCGUUGAAGAGUAGUGGGACAACAUUCCACAGGCCACUAUCAACAGCCUGAUCAACUCUAUGCGUCACGCUGCACGAGGUAAAUGUUGGUCGCUCCAGAGACUGACUGGCUUUCUGAUCCUUGCGCCCUACCUUUUCUUAUUAAGCUAUCUGUAUUCCCAGGCAUGUGAAAUCCAUAGAUUAGGGCCUAAUAAAUGUAUUUCUAUUGACUGAUUGAUUUCCUUAUGUGAACUGUAUCUCAGUAAAGUCUUUGAAAUUGUUGCAUGUUGCGUUUAUAUUUUUGUUUGUUUUGUAUAUCAUUUACGAUCCCCUUAUACAAACGGCUUACUCAUUUACCUAGCUCUUAUCAAUAGCUAAGAACGCUGUUAUCAGGCUUAAGUUCAAGGUCAGAAUACACGUAG
rnacentral:lncRNA from 1 species